ensembl:lncRNA
AGCACCCUGAGAGGCGCCCACAUCGUGGCUUGUAGCUCGCAGUCUGUUAUUGAUACCGUCAGGGCUCUAUAUGUGGCGUGGACCCACACGGUUGGCUUACCCUUUCUACCUACAACGGACGUUCGGGCAGCUGCUAGCUUUUCAGCUCGUUCAAACAGCAAAGCAGAUCACUCUUGUGUAUCUCUCUGGGUGAUUCACACACUCGGUGGUGGAAUUACUGGGGUCUGUGGAACAGACGUGCGCUUCCCAGGCGGCUCAGUGGUGAAGAAUCUGCCUGCCAAUGCCAGAAACGCAGGAGACAAGGGUUGGAUCCCUGGAUGGGGAAGAUGCCCUGAAGAAGGAAAUGGCAACCCACUCUAGUAUUCUUGCCUUGAAAAUUCAAUGACCGGAGGAGCCUGGAGGCUACAGGCCCUGGGGUCGCAAAGAGUCGGACACGACUGAGCGGCUGAGCACACACGCCGGGAAUGAGGGUACCCAGCUUUGGGGAUAAAACCAAACGGUUUUCCAAGGUGGGUGAACACACUCCCACCAGCACGGAGAGCGUUCCGGUUGCUUCACAUCCUCCAUCCUUGCCAGCGCGAGCGAUUGUCAGGGCCUCGAAUUUUAGCCAUGCUGGUAGGAGUCAAGUAGUGCCUGACUGGAGUUUUAUUUGCAUUUCCUGAUGAAUCAUGAGGUUGGGGAGCUUUUCAUCUGCUUAGGGGCUACUUGGAAAUCCUAUUUUAAACAAGGCCUGUUCAAGAAUUCUGCUCCCCUCUUCCACUGGUUGUCUUUAUCUUAUUGAUUUUAGGAGUGUCCUGGAUGUGGGUCAUAAGCGGGAUGAAUAUAUGGCAAACACGUUCUGCAACUCUGUGGCUUGCCUUUUCAUCUCCCGGUUGUAUCUUUUGAUGAAUAAGAUUCUUCAUUUUAAAAGAAUCCAUUCUAUCACUGUUUCCCGCCAGCCCCUGUCCAAAGGCUGGUCUCAAAGCCACAUGCUGAGGCUCACCUCCUGUACCCUCCAGGUUCCUGCACCCCAGGCUGGCUCCUCUGCUGACCCAGCCUCUCAGAACAUCCCCGAGCACUCUCCAGGUUCCUGCAUCCCAGGCUAGCUCCUCUGCUGACCCAGCCUCUCUGAACAUCCCCGAGCACUCUCCAGGUUCCUGAACCCCAGGCUAGCUCCUCUGCUGACCCAGCCUCUCAGAACAUCCCCGAGCACUCUGAGCUCCUGGUUGUUUUGAGCUCCUAGUUGCUAUGUCCUCCUGCUGUGACUGCUGGUUUUGUCUACUUGCUGUCAGAAUUAGGCAGAGAAAUACAAAGAGAUGCCUCCCAUGCUAAAGGUACUUUUCCUGCCAAUCCUAAAGGAAAUCAACCCUGAAUAUUCAUUGGAAGGACUGAUGCUGAAGCUGAAAGCUGAAACUCCUGUACUUUGGCCACCUGAUGCAAAGAGCCAACUUACUGGAAAAGAUUCUGAUGCUGGAAAAGACCCUGAUGCUGGGCAAGAUUGAGGGCAGGAGAAGGGGGCAACAGAGGAUGAGAUGGUUGGACGACAUAACAGACUUGAUGGAAAUGAGUUUGAGCAAACUCCGGGAGACGGUGAAGGACAGGGAAGCCUGGUGUGCUCCAGUCCACGGGGUGGCAAAGAGUCGGACACGACUAAGCAACUGAAUAGCAACAAGCGUGUCAAAGCAGCCGCACUGCCUCCGGAUGCUCUAGACCAGCUACCCCUCUCAGGAGGGUCUCUUGGCAAAAAAGGAGCCUGAAGGGACUGCGUGGCAGACAGGACUUCAUGUUUAAUGAGGUUAUUACGGUGUCCCUGGUGGAAGUGCUCCCUCUGGGAGGCAGGACUCGUGGAUCACAGAUCCUGGAACCAUGGGGAUGGAGAACACAAAUUUCCCAAGUAGUUCAGUGGGAGUGGUGGUGAUCCCAGACCCAGGACUGCCUGGCUGGGGCCCAGGAUCACCCUAGAAGAUGCCCUUCAUCUUCACAGGUAGCAUCCCCAGGCCAGGACCAGCUGUGCCUUCAUAAGGCUGUCCCGUCUCACCCGGGCCAUCAGCUGCCAGACCUCCUUUGUCAUAAAGUUUGUUCUUCUUUUCCUGGUUUCUUAAGGUGGAAGGUGAGGUUAUCGACUUGCGAGCCUUUUAAGGCAGACAUUUGCAGCCAUUCACCAACCCCCCCCCGCAUUGCUUUAAUUACAUCCCUCAUGGUUCUGCUUUGUCGUGUUUUUGUCUCCAUUCUCCUCAAAGCGAUUUCUAAUUUCCCUCGUUCUUCUUUGAUCCACUGGCUAUUUAAGAGUGUUUUAUUUAAUGCCCACAAAUCUGUGACUUUUCCGAAUUUCCUUCUGUUACGUAUUAAUUUCUAAUUUCAUUCCAUUGCGGUCGGAGCACAUAUUCUGUUUGAUUUCAGUCUUCUUAAAUGGACUGAGACAUAUGCAUGCUGCAAUACAUGGUCUGUCCUGGAGAAUGUUCCACAUGCCCUUGAGAAGAACGGGUGCUCUGCUGCUCUUGGAUGGAGUGUUCUGUAGAUAUCUGUUCGGCUGCUUUGGUAGAUAGUUUUCUUGAAGUUUUUAAUUUCCUUGCUGAUUUUCUGCCUAACUGUUAUGUCCAUUAUUGAAAGUGGAGUAUCGAAGUUUCCAGCUAUUAUAGUUGAAGUCUCUACUUCUCUCAAUUUGGUCUUUUCUUUUUUGCUUCAUGUUUUCCGGGCUCUGUUUUCAGGCACAUAUGCGUCUGCAAUUGUUGACUCUCUUCUGUGCAUCGGCCCUUUCGCCACUUGAUCUCCUUCUUCGUCUGUAAGAACGUCCCUUUUGCCGAUGCCAGUGCAGCCGCUCCAACCCUCUUUUGAACACAGCUCGCGUGAACUCCCCGUGUCCCCCCUUUUCAUUUCAGCCAAUUUGUGUCUGGUUCUAAAGCGAGUCUGCUCACUGAGACGCCCACCAGGCGGGGGAAGUUAACCGUUUGCUGCCCACACACAUGUAGACCCCAGACUGGUUGAAACCCGAAGAUUAAUGAUGGUAACUCCCUGAGAGCCCAGUUGGUAAAGAAUCCGCCUGCAAUGCAGGAGACCCUGGUUCGAUUCCUGGGUCGGGAAGAUCCCCUGGAGAAGGGAUAGGCUAUCCACUCCAGUGUUCUUGGGCUUCCCUUGUGGCUCAGCUGGUAAAGAAUCUGCCCGCAAUGCGGGAGACCUGGGUUUGAUCCCUGGGUUGGGAACAUCCCCUUGAGAAGGGAAAGGCUACCCACUCCAGUAUCCUGGCCUGGAGGAUUCCAGGGACUGUGUAGUCUAUGGGGUCGCAAAGAGUUGGACGUAACUGAACGACUUUCACUUUCACCUUCAACUCCUACUUACUUCGCCACCAACCCAUCAGAAGAAUGUCCAGGCGCUGAAAACAACCUCUUAGAACAAUUACUAUAAAACCUCGCACUUCUCUCUUUAGGUUGGGACACAGAGUUCUGAAAGCAUUAGCCUGCUGUGGCCCCCUUUUGCCUGGUAAAACAAUAAAGCUAUUCUCUGCUUCACCACCAUAAAUAAAGAAAUAAAAUGAAUGUCUCAGAGACAGCACCUCAUUGGCCAUGUUAUUUAAUCCAGUUUGCUAAUCCCUGUCUUUUAACUGAAGAGUUUGAAUCUGUUUACAUUUAAUCAUUACUUAUAAGAAAGAACCAACUUCCAUCGUUUUGUGAUUUGUUUUCCUGCGUCCUUUUUGUUCCUCAGCUCCUCCAUCGCGGCUUACUUUUAUGUUAAAUAUUUUCUAAAGUAUUAUUUUAAUGCCAUUGUAAUUUCUUUUACUUUAUUUUUGAGUUAUUUUCUUGUGGUUGCCCUAUGGAUUACAAUCAGUAUCUUAGUUUAUAACACACCGGUUUGGAUUAAUAACAAUUUAUUUUCAAGAGUGUACUAAAGUUGUUCUUCUUUGCCUCUAUCAAAGGUCCGUCUAGUCAAAGUUAUGGUUUUUCCUGUGGUCAUGUAUGGAUGUGAGAGUUGGGCUGUAAAGAAAGCUGAGUGCUGAAGAACUGAUGCUUUUGAACUGUGCUGUUGGAGAAGACUCCUGAGAGUCCCUUGUUUCUGCAAGGAGAUCCAACCAGUCCAUCCUAGAGGAAAUCAGCCCUGAAUAUUCAUUGGAAGGACUGAUGCUGAAGCUGAAGCUCUAACACUUUGGCCACCUGAUGGGAAGAGCUGACUCAUUGGAAAAGACCCUGAUGCUCGGAAAGACUGAGGGCAGGAGGAGAAGGGGACGACAGAGGAUGAGAUGGUUGGAUGGCAUCGCCGACUCAAUGGACAUGAGUCAGAGCAAACGCUGGGAGAUAGUGGAGGACAGGGAAGCCUGACAUGUUGCAGACCAUGGGGUUGCAAAGAGUCGGACACAACUUAGGAACAAGACAACUCGGACUCUCUGGCUGUGGGACACGGGCUCUGGAGGACCCGCUCAGUGGCAGCGACACCGGCUUAGCUGCUGCGGAAUGUGUGGGAUCUUAGUUCCCGAGCAGGGACUGAACCCACACCCCCUUCGGCGCAAGGCAGACUCUUUACCACUGGGCCGCCAGGGAAGUCCUGUCCUCUGCUCUUUAGACACAGUUUCCUUUAGCUGAUCAAACAUAUUUAAAUUGCUGAUAUAGAGUCUUUGUCUAAAAAGUCUCACAUCUAGACUUACUCAGUGAUAGAGAAUAGUGAUGUCAUUUUUUCCUGGCUAUAAGCCAUACUUUGUUUUCUCUUUGCAGGCCUUGCAGUUUUUAGUUGAAAACUGGACAUUCUGAGUGUUACCAUGUGGCAACUCUGGAAACCAGAUUCUCUCCCUUCCCCAAGAUUUGUUGUUGCUGUUCCUUCUUGUAGUUGGGAUCUUUUUAAGGAACUUUCUGUAGAGUCUAUAUUAUUCGUCAUAUGUAGACCCUGAAAUCUCUGUUUUGUUGGCUUAUGGUCAGGUAUUGAUUGGACAGAGAUUUCCCUGAAGGAUUGGAACAGCAAAAAAAUAUCCCAGUCUUUGCCAAAGGGCUCUGUGUGUUUCAGGCCAAGCCUUCAGUGCCGAGCCAGGCGGCUUCCAGCUCUGCCUUAGCUUUUGCUUCCUGCUGCUGCCCAGGCAGUGUUGGCAGGUGAGGGCUCAGGGCCUGCUCAGUCUCUGGAGGAUGUGCGCUCAGCCCUUUAGACUCGUGGGAAUACUUCCAAGCUUUCCAAAGCCAUGAGGACAUCUCACUGGGAAAGACCCUGCUGCUGUGAAAGACUGAGGGCAGGAGGAGCAGGGGCGGCAGAGGGUGAGGUGGUUGGAAGGCUCAAUGGACGUGAGUUUGCGCCAACUCCGGGAGAUGGGGAAGGGCAGGGAAGCCAGGUGUGCUGCGGUCCAUGGUCACAAAGAGUGGGACACGACUUAGUGUCUGGACAGCAAGGAUCUCAUUUCUCGCCUUUCCUCCCAAACUCUGUGAUUAGUCUAUUGCUUUCCCAAUGGCAUCACCUCUCGCCGCAGUCAGCGAACGCUUUGGGCACACACCCCGGUGCUGCUUGUGCUCUAGGCCGACUAUGAGUUAAACGAAACACAAACAAACAUUUGGGCCGGCCUUCCAGAGAACACAGGACAAGUCAGAACAAAUAACUAAUCACGAUUCUUUGGGAAUGGGCUCUGUUCCGCAUUUACCAGUAUUGCGAGCUACCACUGAGCUGAAGAAGAGCGGGGCGGGGACUAUGAAAUUAACUGAUUUUACUGAGAACCAGCUAUGUUUCUUAAGUAAAUCUGU